rnacentral:rRNA from 1 species
UACGGAGGGUGCGAGCGUUGUCCGGAAUCACUGGGCGUAAAGGGCGCGUAGGCGGCGCGGAAAGUCGUCGGUGAAAGCUCGGGGCUCAACCCUGAGUCUGCCGGUGAUACUCCCGCGCUCGAGCUCACUAGAGGCAGAUGGAAUUCCGGGUGUAGCGGUGGAAUGCGUAGAGAUCCGGAAGAACACCGGUGGCGAAGGCGGUCUGCUGGGGUGGAGGCUGACGCUGAGGCGCGAAAGCGUGGGGAGCAAACAGG